UUCAGUUGAGACAGGAUCUCACUAUGUUGCCUUGCAUGGACUGGAACUCCUUGGCUCAAGAAAUCUUCUUGCCUCAGCCUCCCAAAUAGCUAGGACUAUAUGCACAUGCUACUACACCUAGUGGAAAAUGAAGCACAGAGAAGUUCAGUGAUGGACCUCAGAUACUACCAGCAGAAAGCAGAAGAGCUAGGAUUUCAACUUAGGAUGUCUGGAUCCACAGUCUGCACUCCUACCCACUAUGCUACACUGCCUCUAACUAUGAGGAAGCAAGGGCAUUUUUUUUUUUCUGGUGACUAAAAAGAUAAGAGUUCAAGUAUGUGGCUCCUGAUAAUCUAACUUAUACAGCCUGGAAAAAUUGAUAGUUACUAUAUCCAGACUGUCUCAUUCAAUUAACAGUUUCUCAAGUAAUCUUCUAGUUACUGUCGUAUUUUAUCUGUAUCAACUUAGCAAACCAAGUCCAAAACAUUUUAUAUGUGUCUAUCUUUCCUGCUGUUCAUAUUAUUGAGUUAGCCAAAUAAAUUCAAUUUUUUUUCUACUGUUUGUUUCUCACAAA
rnacentral:lncRNA from 1 species